CCUACGGGAGGCAGCAGUGGGGAAUUUUAGACAAUGGGGGAAACCCUGAUCCAGCCAUCCCGCGUGUGAAUGAAGGCCUCCGGGUAGUAAAGCACUUCCUGCAGGAAGGAAACGUCGCGAGGCUGAUACCCCGCGGAACUGACGGUACCUGCAGAAUAAGCACCGGC
rnacentral:rRNA from 1 species